CCAGGUCAUCGCUUAGCUUACUUCACUUGACAACUGGACAUUUUCUGCUUGCUCCUCCAGAUUUAAUCUCCAUCCUCCUCCAUUCUAAUCUGUACUCUGGCCUUGAUCUUCUUUUGGGAUCCACAGAAAACUACCACUGGCACAUGGGGGAGUUGAUGGUGAUAAAUUCCAAGGGUAACUGGGAAGAAAAACAACCAAGAUCCACUGGAGAAGUCAGUUAUUGUUAGGUCAGGCAACAUCAACACAAUAGACAUCUGUUCCAUUGAGAAAAAAGAACUCUGUUGAACUGAUGAAGCUGUCAGCAUAAGUCAUGCUCUUUGGGCAUGUCAUAAAACGACCUGACCUUCAGAGAGGAGGCUGGGGUAUCAGAAUCCUCAUUCCUACCAUCAGUGGAAUCUGUCAUGGUAGAAUUUCUUUCCCUGUGUGGUUCCCCCAAAUGUACACUGAUUAUUAACUUUUAAAUUCAUAGCUUAGGAACUAUAGGAGGAUCUAGCUCUGCACUGAAAAUAAUGAAAUUCUGCUGGCUAGCCAACCCUCAGUUGUUCCAGAUUCAACAGGUUUCUAUUGGGUAUCUAUGCAUGCAAAUACCAGAGGUUCAACAGUUAACAAGACAGUCAUGAUCCCUGUGCUAUGGAUCUUAAGAUCUAGUUGUCCUCCUGUUAGCAAUAUCACCGUAUCAAGAAUCAAUCAACUGUUCCCAAUUGACUGAGCUGGAAUGAACUGCCCAAUCCCCUCCAUUUAUCAAUUUAAAAAUAACUCUGAAUAGGUUAUAUCUGUGUAUAUAGGGUUCAAAACUAAUUAAAAGAGAGGACUAGAACCCAGGUCUACUGACUCCCAGACCUUCCCUGUUUGUUGAUACUCUGCCCUCCUUUCUACCUACUCCCAAAAAAAGCUUAAUUUCCCAUGUAGAGUCCUUACACUGGUAAAUGUCUGCUGACACAUGCAGGAGUCAAUGAUUAUUGACUCUGGCAAAAGCAAUACGUUGUCUAGUAUAUUUACCAACUACUAGAACACAGUGGUGACAUAAAUUUGUUUUUCAUGAAACUUUCUCUAUUUCUGAAAGCAAAGUCCACUAGAAAGCCGAACUCGUGGAAAGUAUUUCACAUAAAAUUGUAUUUGAUGGACAUACUUAAAGGGCAAAUAUUAAAUUAUGGCUUUAAUCUCUAUUCUUUUAUAUAUGUCAAGAAAGCCUCAUCAAAUCUUACCUUUCAUAUGCAUGAAAUAUUCCUUUAAAGUUGGCUUAUCAGAUUACUAAAAGAACUUCUGUACCAAAGAUUUUUUUAAAAUGUGCUAGGCUAAGACAACAUUGUGAGAUAUAUUUAGGAGUAGGAAAAAAGGCUGAAUUUCCCUUUUUUUUUUUCCUUCUUCUCCUUUCAGGGAUCCAGUGAACUCAAUGUCCUUUAGUAAAUGUACCAGGUAGAGCAGUUGAAUUCAUGAGAAAAUCAUCAAGUAGUCAAUAUUCUGGUUGUCUCAAAAGGAUUUCUUUUUAAAAAAAGAAGACCCAAGGAAAACACUAUCAAUAGAAAGCAUUGAAUGCUCAUAAGGAAUUUAGGCAAUACCAGGAAAGUGUGUUUGGGGUGAGGGGAAG
rnacentral:lncRNA from 1 species